rnacentral:rRNA from 1 species
GGAUUAGAUACCCUGGUAGUCCACGCCCUAAACGAUGUCUACUAGUUGUCGGGUCUUAAUUGACUUGGUAACGCAGCUAACGCGUGAAGUAGACCGCCUGGGGAGUACGGUCGCAAGAUUAAAACUCAAAGGAAUUGACGGGGACCCGCACAAGCGGUGGAUGAUGUGGAUUAAUUCGAUGCAACGCGAAAAACCUUACCUACCCUUGACAUGGCUGGAAUCCCCGAGAGAUUGGGGAGUGCUCGAAAGAGAACCAGUACACAGGUGCUGCAUGGCUGUCGUCAGCUCGUGCCG